CAAUAACCCCGCAAGACACAAGUGCCUACAUAAGAGUUGAUGGUGAUGGUGUACUGCAUCUGGUGCAGCCUCCUGUUGAGCCAGACCAACAUGCAGUUGAAAUUGAAGAAACAUUGACAGCUGUUACAGAGGAGGAAGCAACAGAGACACUUUAUGAGAGUGAUGAUGGAAAUGCAGAGGAAGAGGGUCCAGCCACUUCUCCAACAAACCUUUCCUCACUCCCUGUAAAGCAGCUGUAUAAGAAAUAUUUGAUCAAGAAA